rnacentral:piRNA from 1 species
UGGCAGGUCCUGGUCCCAUCUUCUGUGGAUA